UUUACAUUUUUAAUUACUAUAGACAAUGCUGAGAUGACUGCUGUAUUUGAGCUUAUCCUUAUUUGGGGAAACGCUUCCAUGUUUUAUGCCUUACCAACUGAAGAAGGAAAGCACGCAGAGGUCUCCUAGGUUCUGCUCAGCAUGGGGUGGCCAAGAAAUUAUUUUCUCCAUGCAGAUGGGAGCACUGGUGAGGACCAGAAUUGCUUUUGGGCCAGGCAUGCAUUGAGGAGCCUGAAGAUAAAGGGCCCAGUUCCAGUUCAGGCUAUUGUGGAUAGAGAUAAUGGUGUGUACUUACUGAAAACAUUGGGGUGAAAACAUUUCAUAAGAGAAACAGAUAACGGUUGUGACGAAGGUAGAGAAGAGGAAGCAGACACUUGGGCAUCCUGUAUAUUAAGGGCUAAGUCAUUUUGUGUACAUAUUUCUCUCUGUAUUUUAUUCCCUUUCCAAUAAUAAUCAGAAAGAGAUCAAUAAUAUCUAGGAAAUGCUUUAAGAGGUUAAAGUAGGGCUCCUUCUCAUUUUAUGACCUUUAUAGAAGUCAGAUAUUGAACAAAGUUUUCUACUAUUCCAUCCUUAAGAAGAGAUGAAUACCACUUAGAGUAGCUCUUUUUCCCAUGAAAUUUGCUAAGACUUUUAAAAAAUUUUUUAUUUAUGUGUAUGUGUGUAAAUCUCUCUGGGUGUUUACCAUGUGAGUGUAGGUGCUGUUGGAAGCCAGAAGAGGGUAUUGG
rnacentral:sRNA from 1 species